AUGAUGUCAGUAUGCGACAUCGAGCACCACCUGGCGGCUGGCGGUGGACCUUGUCAGAGCGGCGGCUCAAAUGGUGCCGCCGGAAGGGCAAGCACGACGUGGCUAGGCAGCGAGCCACGAGCACUCGUCAGGAGAGCAGAGUUCAUGGCGGCGGUGAAAGAUAACGGCAAUGGACUGGAGUUCCUAACAGAUCCCGUCGACAGGAUUCGUAUUGGGCGAGCCCCUAUUGAGCGCACACCAUGCGCUGGAAGAGUAUGUGCCCUUGAAAAAACCUUAAGAGGAUACGCGGAGAAGAAAACAGAUACCGUCGUGGUACCAGCAGUUGGCUACAACUUUGAUUCAUUGGGAGAAGCAUACGACUUCUACAAUCUAUAUUCGUGGGAGAUCGGGUUUGUGAUAAGAUAUGGAAAACUUAGGCUAAACAUCGAGAGAACCAAAUGCAUGCAAGAAAUAGUUUGUGGAUGCCCGGCAAAUGAUAUGCUUUCUAACAAAAAGAUUGUUGCCUCCGCAGAUCAAUGUAGAUCUAUGGAGCUUGCAAUAGAAAAAGUAAUGCCAAACACCACACACCGGUUGUGCAAGUGGCACAUCCUGAAGAAGGCGAAGGAAAAAGUUGGUGCAUACUACUCAAAGCGAAGCAACUUCAGAGAAGAGUUCCAUAAAGUUGUGAAUCACAUGAUAGCAGAAGAUGAAUUUGAAAGUGCAUGGGCACAGCUCCUUGAGAAAUACAGUUUGCAAGAAAACACUUACCUUUCACACAUCUAUGAAACAUUGCCAGCUAUGAAGGUAAACACGCCAUUGGAGUUCCAUGCUAAAUAUAAUGUACAUCGAUACUACCUGGAGAAACAUGAAAAGUGGUGCAGAGUACUGUACAUAAUACAUGUCCUCGCUCAGGGUGAAGAAUUGAUAUGUGAAUGUGGCAACUUCGAGCACACAGGAUUGCUAUGCUGCUAUUCCAUUAAGGUUUUUGAUUUCCUUGGUAUAGACAGAAUUCCAUCAAAGCAUAUCCUAAAAAGGUGGGCAAAAGAUGCAAGAGACAUACUUCCAGAUCACUUGGCGCGCCUACAGAAAGAUAAGAUUUCAGCUAACUCAAUAACAUUCAGACAUUCAAAUCUGUAUACACAUGCUUUAGAGGUGGUGAAACUUGGUGAUGCUAAUCCAAUUGCAUACGAUUGCACAAUGAAACUUCUUAGAGUAGCAAUGGAUAAACUGACUCCUUUAGCUGCUGAGCAUGAUGGUCUGGGUUUAGAACACAUAAUAGAAAUGAAGAAGACAAAGGUUAAGGAAUUGAGUCUGCUACAAGGGCCACGUAAUGGCUGCAUGAGCGAUGAUGAGGGUAGUGCCAUUGAAAAUUUCAUUGGAUUAUCUGCUCCAGAGCGCAAACGGAAAGCCGGACGACCAACAAACCGCAGAGACAAACCUCCGUACGACGACCGAUCUGAGAAAAGCAAAAAGUUGAAGGUUACAUCCGAACUCGAUGCAGUUCUCGGAUGUGGCACAAGUAAACGAACACGGUUUUGCACUAUCUGCGGUGGCCCUGGUCACAAAAGCACAACUUGUCCACAGAGAGGGGACACGCCUCAAAAGAAAAGGAAAGAACCGAAAUGCUCGAUCUGCGGGGUGGGAGGUCAUCGGAAGAACACCUGCAAUAAUCCUAAGAUUGUGGUACAUGUUGCCGAGCAAACAACUCAUGAUCCUGCUAUCGAUCAGUGA
rnacentral:rRNA from 1 species